rnacentral:misc_RNA from 1 species
GUGUCUCAAGUGUAACUCACGAGCAAGCCAAAACGGUAGCUCUGCCUUUGAACCUUGUUCCACAUAGCCUCUUUCAGUGCUUUCAUCAAUUUUUACUCCAUUUACUGCGUUGCGGAAUACAACUGGAACAAACUCUUCCUCCGCAAGGAUAUCAUCAAUGUCAUAGUAAUUUGCCAUUCUUGAUGCUCUCUUUUUCGUUCUUGCAAUUUCUCUCGAAUUUAGAAAGAAAUGUUGUGAAUAGAGACAAUUUUGGGUCUUCCAAACUUGCAAGUAUGAAAUUGAAAGUGUAGACCCAGGAACUCUGAUGACGAGUCGUUUUUUUCUAGCUGGACGAUAGGGUUUGGGAUUGCAUAUACACCCACGAUCUCAGCUCCGGCCACCAAUUAGAUGCAAUUCUCAGCCUUGUAUUUACAGANNNNNNNNNNNNAAAAAAAAAAAAAAAAAAAAAAAAAAAAAAAGUGAAAAACUUUGGAUGAAGAUUUGAACUUGUCAGUUUACUUGAAGCUGGAAACCCUAGAAUAGUGAGAC